AUGGCCGGGCUACUCUCUGUCAAGGCCGUCGCGCUCGCCGCCGUGCUUGCUGCCGCGUAUGCCUCUUGCGCCGCCGCCGAGCAGCCGGGGGCGGCGGACCUCGACGCCUCCGCCGUGUCUUACAGCUCCGCGUGGCUUCCGGCCAGAGCGACCUGGUACGGAGCGCCCAACGGCGCCGGGCCCGACGACAACGGCGGCGCGUGCGGCUUCAAGCACGUGAACCAGUACCCCUUCUCCUCCAUGACCUCCUGCGGCAACCAGCCCCUGUUCAAGGACGGCAAGGGCUGCGGCUCCUGCUACCAGAUACGGUGCAGCGGCGACAAAUCCUGCUCCGGCAAAAUCGAGACGGUGAUGAUCACGGACAUGAACUACUACCCGGUGGCGCAGUACCACUUCGACCUGAGCGGCACGGCCUUCGGCGCGCUGGCCAAGCCGGGGCUCAACGAGAAGCUGCGCCACUCGGGCAUCAUCGACAUCCAGUUCCGGCGGGUGCCCUGCAACUUCCCUGGCCUCAAGAUCAACUUCCACGUGGUGGACGGCUCCAACGCGGUGUACCUGGCGGUGCUGAUCGAGUACGAGGACAUGGACGGCGACGUGAUCCAGGUGGACAUGAAGGAGGCCAACUCCGGGUCGUGGACGCCGAUGCGCGAGUCCUGGGGCUCCAUCUGGCGGAUGGACUCCAACCAUCGCCUCCAGGGGCCCUUCUCCAUGCGCAUCACCAGCGACUCCGGCAAGAAGCUGGUGGCCAACAACGUCAUCCCGGCCAACUGGAGGCCCAACACCGACUACCGCUCCUUCGUCCAGUUCAGCUGA
rnacentral:rRNA from 1 species